rnacentral:rRNA from 1 species
AACGAACGCUGGCGGCAUGCCUAACACAUGCAAGUCGAACGAGACCUUCGGGUCUAGUGGCGCACGGGUGCGUAACGCGUGGGAACCUGCCCUUAGGUUCGGAAUAACUCCCCGAAAGGGGUGCUAAUACCGGAUAAUGUCUUCGGACCAAAGAUUUAUCGCCUUUGGAUGGGCCCGCGUUGGAUUAGCUAGUUGGUAGGGUAAAAGCCUACCAAGGCGACGAUCCAUAGCUGGUCUGAGAGGAUGAUCAGCCACACUGGGACUGAGGCACGGCCCAGACUCCUACGGGAGGCAGCAGUGGGGAAUAUUGGACAAUGGGCUAAAGCCUGAUCCAGCAAUGCCGCGUGAGUGAUGAAGGCCUUAGGGUUGUAAAGCUCUUUUACCCGGGAUGAUAAUGACAGUACCGGGAGAAUAAGCUCCGGCUAACUCCGU